UUUUUUUUUUGAGAAUAUUCCAGCCAAAUCCAUAAAUAUUAUACUGCGUUUCGCAAGUAAUACGCGCAAUCUCCCUAGUUUCUUCAUACUUUGGGAAUAUCUUAGAACGAUUUAUUCAAGAUGAAAGAUUUGUAUAAAAAUAGGAAAAAGUCCGUCGAACAAAAUGAAUAAUAAAUUAAAGAAGCGAAAGGAAUCUUUUUUCGAGUUCGCUCGCUCGAGUUCUUAUUAUUUGCUUGGAAGGAUGUGAGAAAAAAUACGUGUUAUCUUUAUCGUUUGUUCUUUUAAAAAUUUGUCUCUUUCGAUAUCAUUGGUGUAUAACAUAAUCCUAUCAACUUUCUUUCGAGGAAAACCUAUUCAACGAUAGAUAGAAUCAACUUGUUAUCGCGGUUAUUCUUCAGUUUUCAAUCGAUUCCAAACUUCUAUGUGAUCUCGACACAAGCUCAGCGAUAUGUGUAUAGUGUACAAAAAGAGAAAAAAAAAAAGAAGAAAACUUUCUUAGUUUGUAAGAGGACAAAUAUACAAAACUUGGAAAUUCGCGGAACAAUGAUGAUUAAAUGUCACACGGAGAAAUCGCGAGAAAGACGCGCCGGAGGGUAAUUAAAAAGGAAGGAAAAUGAUAGUUUUUUCAGGAGGUCAAGAUGCUUUUUAGAGCGUUUUAGAGCAUAGAACGAGUCGUAAUAGAAAAAGCGAGAGAAGAGGAAAAAGAAAAAAGAAAAAGAAAAGUAGAAAAGAAGAGAGUGAAUUGAAAAAGGGGGAAAAAAACAUAGGGCAACAACUGACGGACUACACAACCAUAUACACGUCGUUUGAUCAACAUUGAAACACACUUACAAAUUGCACACAUACUUACACACGCACACGCUUGAACUCCAUUCAGGUAGAAAAAAACGUAUCUCAGAAAAGAGAAAGCAUUACAGAUAGGAUCGGAUCACAGAUAGGAAGAGGAUGACCAAGGAGCGCGCGAGGGUUACAGGAAAAAAACGGAACAGAAGGAGACAGAAAGAGGAAGCGGAGGGGGAUGGUAGGAAAAAGGUGAGAGCGGGUGGUUAAGGUGGUUCUCCUGGUGAGGAUGGUAAAAGGUAAGCAGCGCGUAUAGCGCGUGCGCUCGUCCGAUACACCUAAUACACGCAUACAAGUACGGAUACAGAGGCACGAUGCAAUAGGGGUUAUGAAGAGAGGCGGCGGGGUUAACACCGGAGGGAGGAUCGCAAACUCUAACGAGGAAGCGAGGAAGCGAGAAAGCGAGGAAGUGAGCGGGGCGAGCGUAAGCGAGAUGGGAUAACAGUUGGAAACGUGAAUGGGGAAGAGUGGAAUAGAGACAGCGAGCUGCGACAGUCGAUGGACAAAGAAGCGAGGAUUCGCGAGGAUCCUUGCGCGGUAUGAGGUUUGCAUGCCUAGCAGACGGCUCCUCAGUAUCGUCCUACGUUCCGCUCGCGACGUGACCCUUCAACUUGGUGUCCCGAUCCGCGCGCCAUCCAAACUUGUGUCCGAUGCGCAUCCGUUUAUCUCGUUUAUGUACCGGUGUUACCAUUGUUGCACGCGCGACUGUUGCUCGUUUCUUUUUUUUUUUUUUUUUUUUUCUCUCUCCUUCCCUCUCGUUUUCACGCACCGUUCAGUGAUACGAAUAUCCAAGGAGGGCGAAAGUAUUACGUUCGUUUCGUCCCGUCACGGGUGAUGAGUGCCGUUUGUCGUAUCCUUGAACCGUUUCCAUUGGUAGGAAUACUAACAAAGUGAUCGAAGGAGAGUGACACGGAAGAGGGAAAUAUAUUGGAUGUUAUGCACAAUCGUGCACAAAAAUUUAUCCAGAAUGGCAUGUCUUGAAAUAAUCAUAUUUUUAUGUUCAAUGAUCACUUUUAUGGUCAGCAAUUGCGAAACAGAGUCAGAAAAUAGUAACAAGAAGGUAAAUUUGUCCAAGUUCCCGUCAGAGUUGGAUUUAUCAAGCCUAGAAGCAUCGUUGGAGAACGAAGAAUCGUUGAGAAAAAUAGUGAAAAGAUUGGCACCGGAGAAGAAUGGCGAGUACCAAAUUUAUCAAGUCUUCUUCGGAAAUGUGGAUCUUCUCAAGGAAUGGCUCAAAGGAGCGGGCGUGACAGGACAGCCCGGAGUAGACUUUCCAGCACUCACGACAAUUCCAACCACUUCGUUCAGCUGUCGCGGCCUGAAAGGUGGUUACUACGCGGACUUGGAGACAAAUUGUCAAGUAUUCCACAUCUGCGACAAUGGCCGGAAGAUAUCGUUCCUCUGUCCCAACGGUACCAUCUUUCAGCAAUCGCAGUUGAUUUGCGAUUGGUGGUUCAAGGUGGACUGUAGCAAAUCCACCGAGCUGUACGAGCAAAGCAGCGAGCAGCUAUUCGAGGAGGAAAGAAGACGAGCCGAGACGAGUCGAAAGAAAUCGAAAUUCGACUAUCAACAAUCGAUCGAGCAACAAGAUCGCGGCCAACAAGACGAUUACUACGACGUGCAAAAUCUCAGCUACGACGGUAAACAGAACGGAAGGAUCAAACCUUACGAGGAGCCUCCCCAAGAGAACCAGCUGCAAUCGAACAGAGAAAGGGUGAAAUCCUCCCGUCACUUUGACUCCGCCAAUAAUUUCAACCGGGAAUCGAACGCGCAAAGAGACAACGAUCGAUUGUUCGGUGUUAAUGGGUUUCAAUCGUCGAAUCAACCGUCCAACUUGAAGCAACAAUUCGAUCAAUUUACAAGGAAUACCGAGGAAGGGAACGUGAAUAGGUAUUCGACCACGAAUCAAGAUUAUUACACAGCCUCGAAAAAGACACAAAAUUACUACGUGACCAAUAGAAACUCGAAUGCCCAACGGGACGAUAAAGGAACUCUGAAGAGAUUGAAGUUGAAAGGAUUGAGAGGUAAUUCAACCUCUACCGUUUCCCAAAGGGUGACUCCGGCUUAUACCGAGUCGACCACGUUCAGAGGAAGCAAUACCAGCCCUGUGAAAGAAUCCCAGCAAUUUGCUGAAAGCGCGGCUUUCGUUGGGAAUCGUGGGAAUCGAUUCAACGAGAACACUGGAAACACGCAUCACUAUUACUAUCAAUUGUAUAUCAAUAGGGGGGAUUCUACCACGAGAAAUCCUAAUUACGAUCCGACCACUUCGAGGCAGGACAACGAAAACGACGUGUCCACGAGGAGGAACGAUCACUCGUUCCCAGGAACUUCCACGCGUGACUAUUACGAGACGACCACCCAAUACCCGACACCCACAGCGACCACUGUUCCCUACAACGACGAGAUCGCCACCGAGAGUAGCUUCUCGACAAACUCGUUUGCCAAUUUCGACACUCGACCAACCGAAUCCCUUCGAUUUGCCAAUACCAACUACGAGUAUCGUGGAAGCCAGAGGAUUGUAGGAAGUAACGUUCGAAGCAGCUUCGUCGAUAAAAAUUACUACAAUAUUAACAAUAACAGGGAAUCUAACAGAGCGGUUAAUAUAGGAACGAUUCCUUCGACCGCUCGUUCAUACGCGACCACGGAUACGUAUCGUGAAACCACCGUGACACCGACGAGCUCUCCGCAACAGAGGUAUACGACUACCGGUUAUUACCAGUCGCCUACGUCGACCGCGUCUUUUCGUAGCAAUAAUUUUGCACGUGGCACGGAGAGGCCGGUGAUCGAUAAUCGGUCCAAUGGGUUGAACAGCGAUACGAAACCGAGCGGGAAGAACCCUUCCACGAUUUCGCCGGGUUAUCGACAAAACUUGAUCAGCAGCACCACGACCACUGAGAAACCGUUCAAGACCACGUCGAUUUAUCAAGAAAAUACGGGGAAAGAUCUGAGCCCUUACGAUAGAAGUUUCACGUACAAACAGGGCAAAGUGAUGUCCACUCUGGGUCCUUACGUUCCGUUCACCAGGAAUUACGCGUACACGUCGGCAACCAGCACCACCUCGAGACCCACCCUCUACACUCCCACGGUGCCUACCUACACCACGAAAACUUCCACGCCGAAAUCGAAAUAUCCUACACCGACGUCGUCGAGUAAAAGCAAGACGAACGGAUCCUCCGAGAGGGAGCACGUGUUAAGCAUGCUCCAUUCCUUGAAGAAUCUGGAGCACAGCGUGCCCGGUCUGUCCGACGCGUUCAAAGGAGGCGAGAGGGCGACCAAUGUUUCCGUUCCCCCCGACCCGUCCACCUUACACUCUUUGGCGCUCUACUUUUCCACGGCUACCGAGAACUUCAAUUCCAACGAGACUACGGACUCGUCUUUGAGCAUAGAAUCGGCAGCCGACGAUAUACAGAGAUCGAUACUUUCGAAAAAAAGUGACGGAACGGUGCGAGUGCCGACCAGCCUUCUUACCCGACAUACCAUCGAUUCGUACACGGAAUUGUUCAAAUUGAAGGACGACGGUGCGGAGAUCGAUAACGCGACGAUCACGGGAGAUCGUCCGGAUAAAAGUUACGCAGGAGAGGACGAUGAUCUGGAGCUUCAACAAAGCGGAGGAUCAUUGGACGAUCUUCGAAAGUCGAACGGUACCAGGCUUCGAGAAUUGGCACAAGUGUUCACCCAUGCUUUGUCCGCGUAUCUGUUGGAUCCGGACACGUUCAAAAAGGUGUUGACCGAGAUCAGACCCACCGAACCAUCUCGAACUACGUUGGAAACGGAUUUAUGGGGUACCACCACCACCCCUUAUCCCCAGGAGGAGGAGGAGGAAGACGACGGUUCAUUGGACAGGGAAAAGGACGAGGUUUUAGAUUUCUCCGACGACAGCAACGAUAUCAGACAGAAAUUGACCACCACUUAUCCCACUACUUUCGAGCUACCCAGCACCACGGUACAAGAGAAUGUUUACGAGACCUUGAGCACGUUGCCAAGUACCUAUUACACUACGCCCAGAACAUCUGCCCAAGAUUUCUUCGAAUAUAGUACGAACUUGAUAUCGUUGAGUCCCGUCUCUAGUAACUAUUUCGAGAGUUCCACGCCACCAACAGAGAGCACAGAGUUUACAGCAGAGGCGAACAGCACACCGUACACGAGCGGAUUCUACAAUCGGAAUAACGAGAUAGACAAAGGAAGCGUCGAGCCAACGGAGGGCCAUCUUCCUUCUUCCGACGAGAGCCAGAAUCGAGUCGGGGGUUUUCAAAAUAACAGCGCCACGACAAUCGCCGAACCGUACACGGAUAAAAUAUCGUUCGUCACCACCCCCAUAAGCGAUAAUUACGUCGUCUCACCCACGCCUUUGUCGCCAUCGAUGUUCGUGCACAUGGUUACCUACAAUUGGAACAAGAAAUCGACGAGCAAAAAGCCCGAGCAACAACUGAGUCCUCCGUUCUUCGACGCUCGUUCCCAAGCGAUUCGAAAGGGAAACGAUAAUAUUCCCGCGUCUCUGAGGCCCGAGAAUUAUCCCAGCACAUCGACAUCGACGCACAACGUACGCGCCACCACCCUCGCCUCGACCAAGAAUUACGAGACGUCGACCGAGCAACCCUUCAAAAUUCCUCGACAAAAAUCUUUGUUGACCGAGGCGAAAGUUGGAAUUUCCCUGCCAACGUCGCGAAACAGUUACACGAAAUUCAGGAAUCUUUACAAUCGCGUGGACGAGUAUAAUAUCGAGACAACCGAGAGAACGACGCCUACGACAACCCUUCUAACCGAAUUCCCCGUAACAACAACUGUAUCCAGCGUCGAGACCACAACGUUUUACGCCAACGAUUCUAACGACACGUUCGAAGCCACGAAUCGCAAGAAGGAAGAAUCCAAGGUAUUGGACAACGAUCAUUGGACCUCGUCACCGGCUGUCACUCAUCUGUGGGAGACCUCCGUGUUCGUCGAUCCUCAAAGGAUCAACUACGACUUGGAGUCGGAUCUCGAAUCGACGGUGUCAACGGGAACGCAGUUCAGCGUCACGGACAGUCGAGAGAGGAUAGAAUACACGCCUUCCUUCGAUGACGAUACGUUGACCAGUUCGGAGGAGUCGUCGUUCACGGACGAGGAUACGUCGGUGCAAAGAUCGUCCAGGGACAAGGAUUCGCCGACCACCUUCUCCCUGCUUCCAACUUCGUUCACGGAGAACACCGUGACGCCGAAGCCGUUGAUCACCACGCGAUCCAGCAUCACUACCACGAUAACGUCCUCCAUCACGUCGACGAAAUCGUUGGCUGGCCAACAGGGUGGGUUGGUGACUUUGCUUCCUUACACGGCCAAGUCGAACGGGACGGAGAACGAAAUUGCGGAGAAAUUGUUCGGCAAGUUAAACGCUUCGAGCACCGAUACGUUGAUGAGGGUGAUGAAACAGGCGGAUAAUAACGAGACAGUUCGACAACUUGUCCUCCUUUUGAUACGGCAUUGCAACGAUCCGGCGAACAACACGUUGCAACGGGAGAAGGAGGAGCUGUUGAACGCGCUGCUCAGAUUGCCCGUGAACGAAUUCUCGUCCGAGGAGUCGAAAAACGUGGUGGCCGAGAUUAAUCAGCUCAAUCUGCCCGCCGUUAAGCCGGUUAAUUACGCGAGAAGCGGCUCGACCGCGCCGUUGAUUACCGAGCCGCCUGUGACCACGUUCAGGAGUAGGAAGAGCCGGAAAUUUCGCUCGACCACGGAAAAUUCGGCGAAUGUAGCGAGACGAUCGGAGAAGGGGACGGUAUCGGACGAGAAUAAUUCCCUCCAGGAGGACGAGAGCUUCGCGUCUGACAAUAGGGCGCUUGAACUUCUUAGAUCGUUGUACACUAUAGCCACUAAAUGGGGGUGAAAUUGUAAGAUACAAUUGUGGCGAGGGUCGUUUUAGCGUGGACAGGCUUCGAAGAAGAUAAAUUCAUUCGUGUCUUUUUUUUUUUUUUUUUUUUUUUUUUUUUAAUUAUUCUUGUUGCUAUAUCGUAUUGGUUCGUUUGAAAUCGAUCGAUCGUUCAAAAAUAUAUUUGUCCCGAUGAUAAUUUUGAACGGUUGAUCGAUUUUGAACGGACUAUAGAUGCUAUUAGAUAAUUCUUGAUCGAUCUUCUUUUUCUUCUCUAAUCUUGUAUUUUGGAUUAUUUUUGCUCCGUCAAUUUUUUCGGUUCGACGAAAGAAAGUUAAAUUUCAAUUACGAAAUUGGAAGAUUUUUUUUAGAUGGUGAUGGGAAUACAAUACGUUUACUAUACGAUGGAAAUAUCUCUUCUUUAACGCACGGAAUCUUUUCAAAGAAUAAAAGAUAAGAAGUUACGGUUAGUUGAUGAACGACGAAACGACUCCCGAUUAAUUUCGCUUGAAUCGUGCGUCACGGACAGACCGUGGGAAUAAUGAAAUUCUUUGGAACUCGUUCGUUAGACUGUAAAUUAAUUAUAUAUCUACUAAUUGCACCUGAUCGUUAACAGUAUUACAUCGCAUAUCGCGUACACUUGUAUCAUAUUCGUUGUACACCCUUUGUUGAAUAAAUAAGGAUUUCGAUGUUCUAUGAUAAAUCCGACAACUUACCCUCCACGCGAGACAUGGAUAUAUCUUAUAUGCGUUGAUAUGGUUUUUGUGGUUUACAAAAUUUUAAUCAUUAUGAGGAAAACGUGGAAACUUAUAUCGUAGAUUACUUGGAAUCGCUUUAAAUCUUGGUGCUGGUAUGUUUUUUUGCAUCUUAUCUUAAAAAGUAAUAACUUCGAAGAUACGAGGCCCUUGUUAAACGUAAAUGAAUCGUUUGUAAAAUCUUUUUUUUUUAUAGUUUUAUAUCAGUUUAACAAUUUUUUUUUUUUUCGUUUCAUCCGUUUUCUAAAAUAAAAUAAUAUGAUCGAUUCGUAAUAACAUUGAACAACGAUGUCUAUCUCUUUAUUUCAAUAUUCUAUUAUUUUUUAAUUGAACUUUGUUUUUAAUGAGUAUUCAAAUCGAUGCUUAUCACACAUUACCGGUCAAUA
rnacentral:misc_RNA from 1 species